UACGAAGGGGGGCUAGCGUUGUUCGGAAUUACUGGGCGUAAAGCGCACGUAGGCGGACUAUUAAGUCAGGGGUGAAAUCCCGGGGCUCAACCCCGGAACUGCCUUUGAUACUGGUAAUCUCGAGUCCGGAAGAGGUGAGUGGAAUUCCGAGUGUAGAGGUGAAAUUCGUAGAUAUUCGGAGGAACACCAGUGGCGAAGGCGGCUCACUGGUCCGGUACUGACGCUGAGGUGCGAAAGCGUGGGGAGCAACAGGAGUUAGAAACCCCU
rnacentral:rRNA from 1 species